rnacentral:rRNA from 1 species
ACCGAAUAGAUACCCAGGUAGUCCACGCCGUAAACGGUGGGUACUAGGUGUGGGGGACAUUCCACGUUCUCCGUGCCGUAGCUAAACGCAUUAAAGUACCCCGCCUGGGGAGUACGGCCGCAAGGCUAAAACUCAAAGGAAUUGACGGGGCCCCGCACAAGCGGCGGAGCAUGCGGAUUAAUUCGAUGCAACGCGAAGAACCUUACCUGGGUUUGACAUAUGCCGGAAACAUCCAGAGAUGGGUGCCCCUUUUUGGUCGGUAUACAGGUGGUGCAUGGCUGUCGUCAGCUCGUGUCGUGAGAUGUUGGGUUAAGUCCCGCAACGAGCGCAACCCUCGUCCAAUGUUGCCAGCGGGUUAUGCCGGGGGACUCAUUGGAGACCGCCGGGGUCAACUCGGAGGAAGGUGGGGAUGACGUCAAGUCAUCAUGCCCCUUAUGUCCAGGGCUUCACGCAUGCUACAAUGGCCGGUACAAAGAGCUGCGAGCCUGUGAGGGUGAGCGAAUCUCAUAAAGCCGGUCUCAGUUCGGAUUGGGGUCUGCAACUCGACCCC